CCAGAAUUCUGGGGGGUGGAUCAUAGAGGAUCCUGCUGUGAUUUACGUUGGAGAGUGUUUUGCCUGUGUUCUCCUCUAGGAGUUUUAUAGUUUCUGGUCUUACGUUUAGAUCUUUAAUCCAUUUUGAGUUUUUGUGUGUGUGCAUUUCCACCCAAUUUUGUACUUGUCUUCCAACCUGAUGUUUGGGCUGCGGUGGGCAUGGUGAUGGUGGUGAUGGUGAUGAAGACGAUGGUGAUGAUGACAUUGACGAUGACGUAACAGGAUUAAUGGGACUCUCAAGGAAGCCUCGCCGUGUGCCUGGCAUGAAGCAAAGCCCUGCUGCAGCUUUGGUUCUGGAAGGAGGAUCUGAGCUGGAAUGGAGAAUGUCUGGUGUGAUCAGCGCCUACAGAGGGGAGAGGCAGAAGCAGAACUGGGCAGAGAGAGUGACUGAACGGUGACGCCUCAGCCAGCCCAGCGGGGAGCUCAGGCAGGCAGUCUUCCCAAGAGUCCCACACUGGUCCCACACACCCACCUGGAUGCCUGCCUUUGGACGCCAGCUGUCCCUGAGGACAUGGCCUGGGGUGAAGAGGCGGGUCUCUGCAGCCCAGCUCCUCUGAAGGAGCCGGGGCCCUCCCAGUGGCCACACUGAAGCAGCUGGCGGCCGGGCCUUCUGGAAGACGACAUGGGCAACGCCUCUCCCUGUCUGCCAUAAGCUGUUUAUCUGCGUGAUCCAGCUUUGCCCUCAGAGCAGAACCCUGAGGUGCUUUUGCAGACGAGGCAGCAGGCUCAGAGAGGUUAAGGUACUCACCCAAGGUCACACAGCUCACCUGCUGACGCACGUCUUCCUGAUUGCAGGGCCCAAGUUCAUACCCACCAUCGUGCGGCCUGUCAGGCUGAAGAGUAGGAUUUUACAGAUGGAACUGAAGUAACUGGCCCUCCCUCAUCCUGAGGAGCAGAUACGAUGCUGUCUGAUCGCCCGACUCCCUCCUGGGAGAGAGUUGUCAGGUUCUGGGUUCACCUUCCAGCAGAGUGGCCCGCUGGUGACCCGCCUUCCUUCCCGCAUCCCAUCUUCCU
ensembl:lncRNA